rnacentral:rRNA from 1 species
UACGUAGGUGGCAAGCGUUGUCCGGAUUUACUGGGAGUAAAGAGCGCGCAGGCGGCCAAGUCAGUCGAAUGUGAAAGCCCCCGGCUUAACUGGGGAGGGUCAUUCGAUACUGCUCGGCUCGAAGACAGGAGAGGGAAGUGGAAUUCCCGGUGUAGUGGUGAAAUGCGUAGAUAUGACAUAGAACACCGAUAGCGAAGGCAGCUUGCUACACAAUCAUUGACACUGAGGCACGAAAGCGUGGGGAUCAAACAGG